rnacentral:lncRNA from 10 species
AGGUCUAUCAAAGAAUAUGCAAGGAAGCCAGGAAUGAAAGAGAUAGCUCUAGAAGAGGCCAAGCUUUCUCAAUCUUGCCAGCAUUGUGUACUGUGUACCAUGCACUUUCUGUGGAUAUAAUGAGCAAGAGAAAUAAGCCAUCUCUGCAUGCAGGAGUUUCAGCUUAACUGGAAAACUAAACAAGAAACUACAGUCAACAUGCUAUCAUGGGGAAGGACAGGAGUCUCUUUCCGGAGAGGUUUGUCCAGAAUUUCCCAACAUUGGCUGUACAGCAGAACGAACUGAGAGCUUUAAAAAAUGCCACUGCCUUUAGUACCACUGCAGACCAACUAAUCAGAACUCUUUUUU